AUGAAAGCACCGGUUCUCGUCUAAUCACAGAAGUUAAGCCUCAUCAAGAGCGGUCAGCACUUAUGAGGGUGACCACCUGGGAACACUG